CACCAAUCAAGCCUGGCUUGGUAUUGGGUGUCGGGCCUGCAACCAGGCCCGCGCCCCAAAUUCGCCGGCGGGGCGACCCGGAUCUCAGCGUUGUGGCAAGCAAAUUCGCUGGCGAGAGGGGGCGUCCGUGCCGUUAAAACCUCCAUCACA
rnacentral:misc_RNA from 1 species